rnacentral:rRNA from 1 species
UCCUACGGGAGGCAGCAGUGGGGAAUAUUGGGCAAUGGAGGAAACUCUGACCCAGCGACGCCGCGUGCGGGAUGAAGGCCUUCGGGUUGUAAACCGCUUUCAGUAGGGAAGAAGCGAAAGUGACGGUACCUACAGAAGAAGCACCGGCUAACUAUGUGCCAGCAGCCGCGGUAAUA